rnacentral:rRNA from 1 species
AUUGAACGCUGGCGGCAUGCCUUACACAUGCAAGUCGAACGGCAGCACGGGAGCAAUCCUGGUGGCGAGUGGCGAACGGGUGAGUAAAGUAUCGGAACGUGCCCAGUCGUGGGGGAUAACGUACCGAAAGUUACGCUAAUACCGCAUACGAUCUAUGGAUGAAAGCGGGGGAUCGCAAGACCCCGCGCGAUUGGAGCGGCCGAUAUCAGAUUAGGUAGUUGGUGGGGUAAAGGCUCACCAAGCCGACGAUCUGUAGCUGGUCUGAGAGGACGACCAGCCAAACUGGGACUGAGACACGGCCCAGACUCCUACGGGAGGCAGCAGUGGAGAAUUUUGGACAAUGGGCGAAAGCCUGAUCCAGCCAUGCCGCGUGCAGGAUGAAGGCCUUCGGGUUGUAAACUGCUUUUGUACGGAACGAAAAGGUUUGGCCUAAUAAGCUGAGCUCAUGACGGUACCGUAAGAAUAAGCACCGGCUAACUACGUGCCAGCAGCCGCCGUAA